rnacentral:rRNA from 1 species
ACGAACGCUGGCGGCAGGCCUAACACAUGCAAGUCGCGCGGACCCUUCGGGGUUAGCGGCGGACGGGUGAGUAACGCGUGGGAAUAUGCCCUUCUCUACGGAAUAGUCCUGGGAAACUGGGGGUAAUACCGUAUACGCCCUUUGGGGGAAAGAUUUAUCGGGGAAGGAUUAGCCCGCGUUGGAUUAGGUAGUUGGUGGGGUAAUGGCCUACCAAGCCGACGAUCCAUAGCUGGUUUGAGAGGAUGAUCAGCCACACUGGGACUGAGACACGGCCCAGACUCCUACGGGAGGCAGCAGUGGGGAAUCUUAGACAAUGGGGGCAACCCUGAUCUAGCCAUGCCGCGUGAGUGAUGAAGGCCUUAGGGCUGUAAAGCUCUUUCAGCUGGGAAGAUAAUGACGGUACCAGCAGAAGAAGCCCCGGCUAACUCCGUG